CCUACGGGUGGCUGCAGUGGGGAAUUUUGGACAAUGGGCGCAAGCCUGAUCCAGCAAUGCCGCGUGCAGGAUGAAGGCCUUCGGGUUGUAAACUGCUUUUGUACGGAACGAAAAGGUUCUUUCUAAUAAAGAGAGCCCAUGACGGUACCGUAAGAAUAAGCACCGGCUAACUACGUGCCAGCAGCCGCGGUAAUACGUAGGGUGCGAGCGUUAAUCGGAAUUACUGGGCGUAAAGCGUGCGCAGGCGGUUAUAUAAGACAGAUGUGAAAUCCCCGGGCUCAACCUGGGACCUGCAUUUGUGACUGUAUAGCUAGAGUACGGUAGAGGGGGAUGGAAUUCCGCGUGUAGCAGUGAAAUGCGUAGAUAUGCGGAGGAACACCGAUGGCGAAGGCAAUCCCCUGGACCUGUACUGACGCUCAUGCACGAAAGCGUGGGGAGCAAACAGGAUUAGAUACCCAAGUAGUC
rnacentral:rRNA from 1 species